GAUAGUUGUAGUGCGGUGCUGU
rnacentral:misc_RNA from 1 species